UAUUCUGUGGCUUAGUUGGUUAAAGCGCCGUGCUAGCGAUACGGAGUCGUGGGUUCGAAUCCCACCAAAACAA
rnacentral:tRNA from 1 species